rnacentral:rRNA from 1 species
ACAAGUAGUCCAAUAAUUAUUAAAGAACUCGAAUUUGUAAUCUAAAAAUCCUCUCAUGAUCCUGACCGAUCUUGGAAGCUAAGCAGGGUUGAGCCUGGUUAGUACUUGGAUGGGAGACCACCUAGGAAGACCAGGUGCUGUAGGCG